UACUCCAUAGUUCAGUUUGUAGAACGGCGGACUGUUCAUCCGUAUGUCACUGGUUCGAUCCCAGUUGGAGGAGCCA
rnacentral:tRNA from 1 species